AUGGUCAGGGACAGCAUUUCUGAAGGGAUGACCUCGAAGGCUGAACUGUGGAAGAAAUGUGCCGUUGCAGAGCUAGGAGAAUAUUCUCCUAGCAACAGGGGUGGAGGCCAUGGAUUUGGAAAGUCCUCUUCAUGUGGGAGGGACCUCCAGGGUGUCAUCAACAUAGCAGAGUACAGAGACUGGAGCUUCCCAGAAGCCACCCUGCGGUUUCCUGCUCCCAUCUAUCUCAAAGAGAGGCUCUUCCCACUACAGGGAAUUAUCGGGAGGCUAGAGAACUGCUCCUCCAGGUAGCUACGCUGGGAGUCCUGUUUGCUUUUGUAUUCCUGAUGUCUGGCAUAGUAUCUAUUUUCUAGUUCUCUCUGAUGUGCAGUUGAGGCUCUGACUCUGAGCAUGACAGGAGACAAGUACCCCUCCAUUCUAAAGGCACUAGGCCCACUACUCAUGGGCUCUGGUUACAAAUAGCACAACUAGGCCUGUAACCUCUACUCCAUCACCCACCUCCAGUCUACAAAAGAGAAGACUGUCUGAAAGUGGGCUUGGGGAGCACCAUCACCGUAGAGUUGUGAGCCUAUUAAGUGUGGCUCUUGCAUUUCCUUCCCUGCCCCACCUUGGUUUUUAAAUCACUUUAUAUUGGGACCCAUCAUUAAAAAUAUAUUUUCAAUGACCCUGGCUACAGCAGUAUUUUUCUACAUAUGCCUCCUGAGGCAAGAGAAACAAAAGCAAAAAUGAACUAUUGGGACCAUCAAAAUAAAAAGCUUCUGCACAGAAAAGGAAACAAUCAACAAAACUAAAAGACAACCUGUUGAAUGGGAGAAGAUAUUUGCAAAUAGCAUAUCCAAUAAGGGGUUAGUAUCCAAAAUAUAUAAAGAACUGAUAGAGGGCAGCCCAGGUGGCUCAGUGGUUUGGCGCCUGCCUUCGGCCCAGGGCAUGAUCCUGGAGACCCGAGAUUGAGUCCCAUGUCGGGCUCCCUGCAUGGAGCCUGCUUCUCCCUCUGCCUCUCUCUCUCUCUCUCUCUCUCUGUCUCUCAUGAAUAAAUAAAAAUAAAAUCUUAAAAAAAAAAGAACUGAUACAACUCAACACCCAAAAGACAAAUAAUUCAAUGAAAAAAUAGGCUGAAGUCAUGAACAGAUAUUUCUCCACAGAAGACAUACAGAUGGUCAACAGGCACAUGAAAAGAUACUCAAUAUCAUUCAUUACCAGAGAAAUGCAAAUCAAAACCACAAUGAGAUAUCACCUCACACCUGUUAUAAUGGCUAAAAUCAAAAACACAAGUAACAAUAAGGACUGGUGAGGAUAUGGAGAAAAAGUAGCCCUCAUG
rnacentral:lncRNA from 1 species